UACAGAGGGGGCAAGCGUUAUUCGGAAUUAUUGGGCGUAAAGGGCGCGUAGGCGGCUUUGCAAGUGGCGGGUGAAAUCCCUCGGCUUAACCGAGGAACUGCCUGCCAGACUGUGAGGCUCGAGACCGGGAGAGGUGAGUGGAAUUCCCAGUGUAGCGGUGAAAUGCGUAGAUAUUGGGAGGAACACCAGUGGCGAAGGCGGCUCACUGGACCGGAACUGACGCUGAGGCGCGAAAGCGUGGGGAGCAAACAGG
rnacentral:rRNA from 1 species